AGCGAAAAUAAUUAAUGCAACCUCAACGGUCCGACUUCUCGGUUAAGCAAACGCGACCCGCAACUCCCGCCAAAAAAAAUCUAUUCAAGACAACAAAAAAAACUCACUACCUGUUGUUCACGCCGAACGGGCAUGAUCCUAGUUUCAAACAGAAACCCGCCGACUUCGAGCAAGCUCUCAUUUACCGGAUUAGGGGGGGACUAAUUGUGGGAUACGGGCCUUGCCCUUCAUGCCCAGUUUGGCCCAAGCACAAAAUGAAUAAGUCAAAACGGCCCAUCAGAAGAACGCCCAUCAGAAGAACGGCCCAUCAGAAGAACGGCCCAUCAGAUCGUCCGGCUCGGCCCAAAUGAGAGCUGCUCGGCCCAACAACAUCAAGUCGGCUCAGAUGAAAGCUGCUCGGCCCAGCCCGACAAACUUGAGAGGGUAAAAACGUAAAACCGCAGGGGAGACCCUAGGUCAGCUCCUAGCCUAUAAAUAGCAGAAGACACUAUUGGGAAAAGGGAGCAGGAGUUAUUACCUAGAGAAUUUAAGAGAGAAUAGUUGCCUAGCUCUGUUAUCUCUUGCUUUCCCGUUUUGUAUUUUCUGGUUUUCCGAUUUGUACUUUCGGUUCUCCGUUCUGUACUUACGGUUCUCCGUUCUGUUAAAUUACCGUCUUUUCCGUUCGUCAUUAAUAAAGAAGCUACUCCGUUCUCCCCAAACCCCUUAAUAAUUAUUGUUACAACCUCGGUACAAACAGUUAGCAUGGUUUACAAUCGUUUUUUAGCAUAAGCAAGUGGCAUUGAAUGAUUUACAAGAGAUUUUAAAAGCUUAUAAAAGGGUAAAACAUGAUUUACAAUCGUUUUUAAAGCAUAAGUAAGUGACAUAGAAUGAUUUACAAGGAUUUUUAAAAAGGGUUAGCAUGGUUUACAAUGUUUUUUUUAAGUAUAAGUAAGUGGUAUUGGAAUGAUUUACAAGGGAUUUUAAAAGCUUAUAAAAGGGUAAAACAUGAUUUACAAUCGCUUUUAAAGCAUAAGUAAGUGGCAUAGAAUGAUUUACAAGGGAUUUUAAAAGUGUUUGUAUGGUUUACAAUCGUUUAAAAGCACAAGUAAGUGGCAUUGAAUGAUUUACAAUGGAUUUUAAAAGGGGUUAACAUGAUUUACAAUCGUUUUCAAAGUAUAAAUAGGUGUCAAAUAAUGAUUUACAAGGGAUUUUAAAAAAGGUUUGCAUGGUUUACAAUCGCUUAUAAAAGAUAAGUAAGUGGUAUAGAAUGAUUUACAAGGAUUUUAAAAGCUUAUAAAAGGGUAAAACAUGAUUUACAAGAGUUUUUAAGAAGUUUUAAAAGGAUUUACAAGGAUUUUAAACCUUUGUAAAACUCUUAUAAAGUCUAUACAAUCAUUUUUUAACUCUUAGAAAAAGAAUGGUACGUAUUUAAAAUAGUUUUUAAAGGGUUUUCUAAUAAUUUCUUUUAAAAUCUUUUAAAAACUCUUGUACAUCUUUUAAAACUCUUUAAAAAUCUCUUGUAAAUAUUUUAAAACACUUUUAAACCCUUUAAAAAUCUUUUAAAAACUCUUGUAAGUCUGUUAAAGCCCUUUAAAAUCCCUUGUAAAUCUUUUAAAACCCUUUUAAAAUCUCUUGUAAAUAUUUAAAACCCUUUUAAAAUCUCUUGUAAAUAUUUUAAAAUAUUUUAAAACCAUUUUAAAAUCUCUUGUAAAUCUAUUUCUCGCCAAAAAAA
rnacentral:sRNA from 1 species